CGGCAGUCUGGACCUGGCAGAGUUGAACUGCUGAUAUUGAUAAAAAGUGUAUGACAAGAAUGUCCAUAUUCUCCCUCUGGAACGAGCAGUGUGCAUCCAAAUCGUGGGUUGCUAUCCUCCUGUCCACAACCAAUCUGAGGAUUCCAGAAGGUAGUAUUUGAACAAGACAUAUUUUACUGAAGGACUCGUGGAUUGCGGGGUCCCACGACAUCACCUCAUCGAUGCAGUCGAUGGUUGGUUCCAGAUUCAGGCUCGUUUCCGGGAAGAAACCCUGACAGAAGUUGAGAAGCACGGGAGCUGCAUUCCGUUAGGACGUGAAUACAUGAAAUGCUCCUCUCACGACCUUCUAGAAGAAUGAGCUGGGACCCAGUUUCUGCGUCCUGCUGGAACCAGAGACGGAGAUAUUGCCCAGGUGUCUGAAAGCCUGCAUUGAGCUGAGCCUUAAGAGAGAAGUUUGGAAUUCAGUUUUGAGAGUAGACAGCCAGUCCAAGAAAGCCUUGUAAUUGGCUCUUAGAUUUCAGUUGUGAGAGA